rnacentral:rRNA from 1 species
UACGUAGGGUGCGAGCGUUAAUCGGAAUUACUGGGCGUAAAGCGUGCGCAGGCGGCGCGUUAAGACAGGUGUGAAAGCCCCGAGCUUAACUUGGGAAUUGCGCUUGUGACUGGCGAGCUGGAGUGUGGCAGAGGGAGGUGGAAUUCCACGUGUAGCAGUGAAAUGCGUAGAGAUGUGGAGGAACACCAGUGGCGAAGGCGGCAUCCUGGACCGGCAUUGACGCUGAGGCGCGGAAAGCUAGGGGAGCAAACGGG